GACCGUUCUGGUAGACUAUUUGGUUAGAGCGUCCGCCUCGGAUGCUGGAGGUUGUGGGUUCAAAUCCCGGCCGAGUCA